rnacentral:ncRNA from 1 species
AAGAUGACGUUGAAGAGGAAUAGUAGAGAUGACCUUUCGAGUAGUAGAGAGCUAACGGGUGGUGAAAGUUAGCCGAAAUCAUCAUGAACUCGCCUCUGAGUCGACAAUGCGAAAAAACAAGUAGUAUUGUCCGUUUUCCGCGAUAAGGAUGAUAACUUUUUUGAGUGCGUGUACACGAAUUUGGGUGGUACCGCGGGAGAUAAUCAAUCAUCUCUCGUCCCAUUA